UACGUAGGGUGCAAGCGUUGUCCGGAAUUAUUGGGCGUAAAGGGUGCGUAGGCGGCAUGAUAAGUUAUUGGCGGCAAAUCGAGGCUCAACCUCGUGGAAACUAAUAAUACUGUCUUGCUUGAGUGCAGAAGAGGUUAACGGAACUCCAUGUGGAGCGGUAAAAUGUGUAGAUAUAUGGAAGAACAUCAAUAACGGCGAAGGCAGUUAACUAUUCUGUUACUGACGUUGAGGCACGAAAGCGUGGGGAGCAAAAAGG
rnacentral:rRNA from 1 species